rnacentral:misc_RNA from 1 species
AAAUUUCCUAAUUCUACAAUAAUUAAAAUUCCUAAAUAAAACUCAUAAGCUUCCUAUAUUGCAUCAUUCUCCCCUGGUUGGAGAAAACUCGACCUUGAGUUUUGGAGUAUUAAAGGAUCAAGAAUCAAGUAAGGAGAACACACACUACGAUCUUCUUGGACGGUAGCAAUAAGAAUGACUUGAAGUUUGCUCUCGCUUUUUUAUUCUUGGAAACAUCUGGGUAAAUAAAAUCCAUUAUUAAUUACAAUGCCCAUGGGUAAUUAUGCUUUACAAGGGAAAUAGUAUGCUCUUUGAACAUGAGGAUCUAAUAAUCCUUCAAUUUCCUUUUCACUUUAUGCUUCUUGGGCCUGUCUAUACAAUCCUUGUUUAAUUUAAUUUUAUUUUUUUAGUAUUAUUAUUUUAGGGUAUUUUGGUUUUGGAUUAUUGGCUUUUCAAUUUGAGGGUUGUAAUUGGGUUUGCGCAAAAGAAAAACCCAGAGAUUCUACAUGGAGAGUUGAUAUGUAUUGUCUUUUUUUGGGUGUUUGGUUAGGAAUGGUUUGAUUAAGCCGAGUGGUUGCGUACAGGUUGAUGGAGUCAAGGUUCUUGUUUGCCAGGUCCCAAUUUCUGUGCUAGUUAGUUAUAUCAGAGUUCUUGUGGAUUUC